GACGAACGCUGGCGGCGUGCCUAAUACAUGCAAGUAGAACGCUGAAGGAGGAGCUUGCUUCUCCGGAUGAGUUGCGAACGGGUGAGUAACGCGUAGGUAACCUGCCUGGUAGCGGGGGAUAACUAUUGGAAACGAUAGCUAAUACCGCAUAAGAGUAGAUGUUGCAUGACAUUUGCUUAAAAGGUGCAAUUGCAUCACUACCAGAUGGACCUGCGUUGUAUUAGCUAGUUGGUGGGGUAACGGCUCACCAAGGCGACGAUACAUAGCCGACCUGAGAGGGUGAUCGGCCACACUGGGACUGAGACACGGCCCAGACUCCUACGGGAGGCAGCAGUAGGGAAUCUUCGGCAAUGGACGGAAGUCUGACCGAGCAACGCCGCGUGAGUGAAGAAGGUUUUCGGAUCGUAAAGCUCUGUUGUAAGAGAAGAACGAGUGUGAGAGUGGAAAGUUCACACUGUGACG
rnacentral:rRNA from 1 species